rnacentral:rRNA from 1 species
UUCUGUUUGAAAGCUCCGGCGGAUGCGGAUGGGCUCGCGUGACAUUAGCUAGUCGGCGGGGUAACGGCCCACCGAGGCGACGAUGUCUAGGGGUUCUGAGAGGAAGGUCCCCCACACUGGAACUGAGACACGGUCCAGACUCCUACGGGAGGCAGCAGUGAGGAAUAUUGGUCAAUGGCCGGAAGGCUGAACCAGCCAUGCCGCGUGCAGGAAUGAGGCCCUAUGGGUCGUAAACUGCUUUUGUGGCGGAGCAAUAAGGUGUACGUGUACACCGAUGAGAGUACGUCACGAAUAAGCAUCGGCUAACUCCGUGCCAGCAGCCGCGGUAAUACGGAGGAUGCGAGCGUUAUCCGGAUUUAUUGGGUUUAAAGGGUGCGUAGGCGGGUUGCCAAGUCAGGGGUGAAAUCCCGGAGCCUAACUCCGGAACUGCCUUUGAUACUGGCAGUCUUGAAUUCGGAUGCCGUGGGAGGAAUGAGUAGUGUAGCGGUGAAAUGCAUAGAUAUUACUCAGAACACCGAUUGCGAAGGCAUCUCACGAAUCCGACAUUGACGCUGAGGCACGAAAGCGUGGGGAUCAAACA